rnacentral:rRNA from 1 species
GACGAACGCUGGCGGCGUGCUUAACACAUGCAAGUCGAACGGAAAGGCCCUGCUUUUGUGGGGUGCUCGAGUGGCGAACGGGUGAGUAACACGUGAGUAACCUGCCCUUGACUUUGGGAUAACUUCAGGAAACUGGGGCUAAUAACGGAUAGGAGCUCCUGCUGCAUGGUGGGGGUUGGAAAGUUUCGGCGGUUGGGGAUGGACUCGCGGCUUAUCAGCUUGUUGGUGGGGUAGUGGCUUACCAAGGCUUUGAAGGGUAGCCGGCCGGAGAGGGUGACCGGCCACAUUGGGACUGAGAUACGGCCCAGACUCCUACGGUAGGCAGCAGUGGGGAAUAUUGCACAAUGGGCGGAAGCCUGAUGCAGCAACGCCGCGUGCGGGAUGACGGCCUUCGGGUUGUAAACCGCUUUCGCCUGUGACGAAGCGUGAGUGACGGUAAUGGGUAAAGAAGCACCGGCUAACUACGUG